rnacentral:rRNA from 1 species
UACGAUACGAGUUUGAUCCUGGCUCAGAACGAACGCUGGCGGCAUGCCUAAUACAUGCAAGUCGAACGAAGGCUUCGGCCUUAGUGGCGCACGGGUGCGUAACGCGUGGGAAUCUACCCUUGGGUUCGGAAUAACUCGCCGAAAGGCGUGCUAAUACCGGAUGAUGACGUAAGUCCAAAGAUUUAUCGCCCAGGGAUGAGCCCGCGUAGGAUUAGCUUGUUGGUGAGGUAAAAGCUCACCAAGGCGACGAUCCUUAGCUGGUCUGAGAGGAUGAUCAGCCACACUGGGACUGAGACACGGCCCAGACUCCUACGGGAGGCAGCAGUAGGGAAUAUUGGACAAUGGGGGAAACCCUGAUCCAGCAAUGCCGCGUGAGUGAUGAAGGCCUUAGGGUUGUAAAGCUCUUUUACCCGAGAUGAUAAUGACAGUAUCGGGAGAAUAAGCUCCGGCUAACUCCGUG